CUUGCCAUGACUUCACAACAAGGUUACCAAGAAGCAGAUGGGCUGUGAGGCCCACAAUCCCCCUUGUCUAAACAUAACUAGCAUUGAUAAUUAAUUAGCUGAAGCAGCAGGGGGAAUUAUAGAAAAGUGGAAAAGUGCAGGAGCAAUUCCCCCAGAUACACUUGGGAGACUUGGGCCACCAUCAGAAAGACAACAGCAAGCACACUGAAGCAAUAAUGACUGAAUGGUACUCUGACUUAUUAAUGCAAUUUCCAACAAAGCCUUGCUCAGUAUGAGGAUUAUGGAUAUCAAAUACGGAAAAUUUGGCUGCAUAAAGCUUUGCUCAAGCUACAUAAUUUUAACACUUGCAUCUUAAAAAGCUGCGAGCUCAUUUGGCUUCAUGUUUGGCUUCAUUGGAUGUUAUUAGUUUUCUAUCAUUGCUGUAACAAUUGCAAUAAACAGUGACUUAAAACAACA